rnacentral:rRNA from 1 species
UACGUAGGGGGCAAGCGUUGUCCGGAAUCAUUGGGCGUAAAGAGCGUGUAGGCGGCCUGAUAAGUCGGUUGUGAAAGUCAAGGGCUCAACCCUUGAAUGCCGGCCGAUACUGUCAGGCUAGAGUCCGGAAGAGGCGAGUGGAAUUCCUGGUGUAGCGGUGAAAUGCGCAGAUAUCAGGAGGAACACCGAUGGCGAAGGCAGCUCGCUGGGACGGUACUGACGCUGAGGCGCGAAAGCGUGGGGAGCGAACAGG